GGAAGUAAAAGUCGUAACAAGGUUUCCGUAGGUGAACCUGCGGAAGGAUCAUUAUUGAUUUAGCGAACCGAGCGUUAGCGAGGUUUUGCGAUCGCUUAUAUUUAAAACCCACUCUUAAACGUAUAAAAUUUUUAUAUAAUAAUAGAAGAUCACUUUCAACAACGGAUCUCUUGGCUCUCGCAUCGAUGAAGAACGUAGCGAAGUGCGAUAAGUAAUUUGAAUUGCAGUAUUCCGUGAAUCAUCGAAUCUUUGAACGCAAAUUGCACUUUCUGGUAUUCCGGAAAGUAUGCCUGUUUGAGGGUCAGUUAAAUAAAAAUCGGUGUUGUUGCUGCCUUUCGUGGUGACGCGUCGGAAUUGGGUCGUCUUACCUUCGGUUAAGUGACUUAAAAUUUUGCAUGAUUUUCGAACGUAUUUAAAUCGCUUUACGUACGUUUGAGAUAUCGAAUGUUUAUUAGGUUCGGUCAUCCUUAUGACUCGCGCCUAUAAUUUUUCAUUAAAUGACCUCAAAUCAGGUAAGAAUACCCGCUGAACUUAAGCAUAUCAAUAAGCGGAGGA
rnacentral:rRNA from 1 species